rnacentral:lncRNA from 1 species
GUUUGGACAAAUAAUGAAGCUUGAUGUCGCCAGACAUGAGUACGUCUGCUAGAAGGACAUACAUUGGAACAUAAGAUAUUUAUACGAUAAACGAAGGAAAGGUUUGUACCAAAUACACCCUUUCUGUACAUCAAAUGAAGGUAUGACUGUCUCAAUUAAAGAAAUUAGCUUUGAGAAUAAACAAGAGUUGAAAGUCGAUAGAAAGAAAGUUCCCUUGUCCUCUUCAUUCGCAUCCUAGCCAUUGAAGAGAAAUGUCGUUUCAGCCUACAUCAAGUACUCCGAAUGUGGAAUGGCUGAGCGUCAAUUUUAUCUUUACACCUGAAUGAUGAAUGUAUGCAAUAUACUACGGUUACGGUUACUCUCUAUUUCAAUUUUACAUCAAGUGAUAUAAUCUCAUAUUCAUUUACACAAUAACUUGUCGUUUAAUAUUUUUUAAUUUAUUUCAGACUAAUACUGAUCUGAGGAGAAGGCUGUGGACGAGAGAAACACCAUCGUACAUAGGGGAGAGUGUAAAUGAUGAAGCAGUGAGUAGCUAUUAUUUUUUUUUAUUUCAUUUUUUUUAAACUCCAAAACAAACAAAAAAAAAACGAACAGAAAAAAAACCUAGAGUUAUUGUUCUACAUGUUAAAUAAGGGUAAUAACAAAAUUACCGAACACCAAUCAAAUCCAUAAUCGAGCAGAAUAAGUCCAAACAAAACUGACAAAAUAGGUAUACAAUCAUUGGUCAUUGAUUUAGAAGAAACUGAAUAUUUUUCAACCAAUGACUGAUAUCUAAAAACGUAAAAGACCCUUUGAGACGUAUUUCCUCAUACCCCUGUUUUAGGAGUCAUAUUUAUAGAUUUUUUUUUUUUUUUGUUUUUUCAGACAAUUCAAUGGAGACAUCCGGAAAUGGAUGAGUUGUGGAGCGCACAUAUUGCGCUCCAGGACAGGGUCAAUUCCCUGAUAAGGGAAUUGAAAAGAGAGACAAGAAAAAACAAAAAAUAGUGUAAGACCUGAGGUGGUAUACCUCAGGCCUAAAAAAAAAAAAAUAUUGUGAAAAUGUGAUGAUUUAAUUCUUUACACUGGAUUUAUUGUCUAUGGAAUAUAC